rnacentral:rRNA from 1 species
UUUAUGCGCCAAUGGAUGAGCCCGCACUUGAUUAGUUUGUUGGUGGGGUAAUGGCCUACCAAGACAAUGAUCUAUAGCUGGUUUGAGAGAAUGACCAGCCACACUGGGACUGAGACACGGACCAGACUCCUACGGGAGGCAGCAGUGAGGAAUAUUGGUCAAUGGACGAAAGUCUGAACCAGCCAUGCCGCGUGUAGGAUGACGGCCCUACGGGUUGUAAACUUCUUUUAUAUAAGAAGAAACCUUGGUACGUGUACCAACUUGACGGUAUUGUAAGAAUAAGCACCGGCUAACUCCGUGCAAGCAGCCGCGGUAAUACGGAGGAUGCAAGCGUUAUCCGGAUUUAUUGGGUUUAAAGGGUUCGUAGGCGGAAAAUUAAGUCAGUGGUGAAAGCCUGUAGCUCAACUAUAGAACUGCCAUUGAUACUGAUAUUCUUGAGUAUAGAUGAAGUGGGCGGAAUAUGUCAUGUAGCGGUGAAAUGCAUAGAUAUGACAUGGAACACCAAUUGCGAAGGCAGCUCACUAAACUAUUACUGACGCUCAUGAACGAAAGCAUGGGGAGCGAACAGGAUUAGAUACCCUGGUAGUCCAUGCCGUAAACUAUGAUCACUAGAUGUUGGCGAUAUAUUGUCAGUGUUUUAGAGAAAUCGAUAAGUGAUCCACCUGGGGAGUACGUUCGCAAGAAUGAAACUCAAAGGAAUUGACGGGGGCCCGCACAAGCGGUGGAGCAUGUGGUUUAAUUCGAUGAUACGCGAGGAACCUUACCAAGGCUUAAAUGUAAAACGACCGAUUGAGAAAUCAAUCUUUUUUCGAACGAUUUACAAGGUGCUGCAUGGUUGUCGUCAGCUCGUGCCGUGAGGUGUCGGGUUAAGUCCCAUAACGAGCGCAACCCUUGUCCCUAGUUGCCAGCACGUAAUGGUGGGAACUCUAGGGAGACUGCCGGUGACAAACCGGAGGAAGGUGGGGACGACGUCAAGUCAUCAUGGCCCUUAUGGGCAGGGCUACACACGUGCUACAAUGGCGAAUACAGAGGGUUGCCAACUAGCAAUAGUAAGCUAAUCCCUUAAAGCUCGUCGUAGUCCGGAUCGGAGUCUGCAACUCGACUCCGUGAAGUCGGAAUCGCUAGUAAUCGCGAAUCAGAACGUCGCGGUGAAUACGUUCCCGGGUCUUGUACACACCGCCCGUCACACCAUGGAAGUAGGUUGUACCAGAAGUAGGUAGCUUAACCCUCGGGAGGGCGCUUACCACGGUGUGGCUUAUGACUGGGGUGAAGUCGUAACAAGGUAACC